rnacentral:rRNA from 1 species
GACGAACGCUGGCGGCGUGCUUAACACAUGCAAGUCGAACGGAAAGACCCUGCUUUUGUGGGGUGCUCGAGUGGCGAACGGGUGAGUAACACGUGAGUAACCUGCCCUUGACUUUGGGAUAACUUCAGGAAACUGGGGCUAAUACCGGAUAGGAGCUCCUGCUGCAUGGUGGGGGUUGGAAAGUUUCGGCGGUUGGGGAUGGACUCGCGGCUUAUCAGCUUGUUGGUGGGGUAGUGGCUUACCAAGGCUUUGACGGGUAGGCGGCCUGAGAGGGUGACCGGCCACAUUGGGACUGAGAUACGGCCCAGACUCCUACGGGAGGCAGCAGUGGGGAAUAUUGCCCAAUGGGCGGAAGCCUGAUGCAGCAACGCCGCGUGCGGGAUGACGGCCUUCGUGUUGUAAACCGCUUUCGCCUGUGACGAAGCGUGAGUGACGGUAAUGGGUAAAGAAGCACCGGCUAACUACGUG